rnacentral:rRNA from 1 species
UACAGAGGGGGCAAGCGUUGUUCGGAAUUACUGGGCGUAAAGGGCGCGUAGGCGGCCUGCUAAGUCGAACGUGAAAUCCCUGGGCUCGACCCAGGAACUGCGUCCGAUACUGGUUGGCUUGAAUCCGGGAGAGGGAUGUGGAAUUCCAGGUGUAGCGGUGAAAUGCGUAGAUAUCUGGAGGAACACCGGUGGCGAAGGCGACAUCCUGGGACCGGUAUUGACGCUGAGGCGCGAAAGCCAGGGGAGCAA